UAAACACCCCGAACCGGUAGGGGGGAGUCACACCUGCACGACCCUUCCUGCAUCCUGCGGUCCUGCCACGCCCCACCUCACCGAGCGUCUCCGGCCACCCCCUGCCGCCGAGCGUCGCCCCCGCGCCUCUGCCUCACCUAGCGCCCGAUCCAGCCGUCGUUCAUCGCCAGCACACGUGGAUCCGGCCGCCCCUCGCCUUCCCCAUCGGCUGCACCUCCUAGCGCCACCGCCCCUGCCAUACUCCGCCGCUGGAGGAUCUCCGCCCUGCCUGGAUCCACAUCCCCGCGGCGACACCGGCAGUCGGCGACGAUGGACGACCACGGUGUAGUGCCCUUGGUCCUCGCCGUCCCCUUGCCUAUAUGCAAGUAAAAGCGACCAUGGUUCAGGCAUCUGUUGGUUAUUGAAAAAUCUGACAACCGCAAGAGAAUAAGAGCUGCAGACUCAGAGUGUAUGUGAUAUCCCUGCCAGAUUGCUACAGCAUAUUCAUGCAGGUGUUGAGGCAGGGAAAAGGCAGCAGUAGAGGCAUGGGCACUUCAGAAAAGGGUGUUGACUGUUCUGAUUGAGGCCAGUUGAAGGCUUCCACGUGCCACCUCCUUCGCCUCCUACGCCGCGUCGAGAAAGGCGGACACGUGCGGUAGGAGCCAAGGGGGAACAGGGAAAGGCGGACACGAGAUUCGUGAACCCAGAGAAGAGAAUGUAUGCGAGCUUGUCCACCUCGGCGGUGUCAGCCGCCAGUGCCACCGUGUCCCGCCUCCGCCUGGCCUGGUCGCAACAAAAGUAUGACUGCAGGUGUGGUUCAUUCAGUUUUGAAGUUUGAUUUACUUGCUUGUGCAUGUGUGUGUGUAUUCUAAGAGAGAGGGAGAGAUUAUUCUGUUCUAGCCAGUCGUAUUUCUGGACAAAUCUGCUCCCCUCCACUCCUUUUUUAUUUGCCUUAAAUCUGAACAUGAAAAGCAGUUACAAAUUGAGAGCAACAGAGUAAACGUUCAAAAGUUCAGAGCGGGUGCA
rnacentral:rRNA from 1 species